rnacentral:rRNA from 1 species
CCUACGGGGUGCAGCAGUGGGGAAUAUUGCACAAUGGGGGAAACCCUGAUGCAGCGACGCCGCGUGAGUGAAGAAGUAUUUCGGUAUGUAAAGCUCUAUCAGCAGGGAAGAAAAUGACGGUACCUGAUUAAGAAGCCCCGGCUAACUACGUGCCAGCAGCCGCGGUAAUACGUAGGGGGCAAGCGUUAUCCGGAUUUACGGGGGUGAAAGGGAGCGUAGACGGCAGCACAAGUCUGGAGUGAAAUGCCGGGGCUUAACCCCGGAACUGCUUUGGAAACUGUGCAGCUAGAGUGCAGGAGAGGUAAGUGGAAUUCCUAGUGUAGCGGUGAAAUGCGUAGAUAUUAGGAGGAACACCAGUGGCGAAGGCGGCUUACUGGACUGUAACUGACGUUGAGGCUCGAAAGCGUGGGGAGCAAACAGGAUUAGAUACCCGAGUAGUC